rnacentral:misc_RNA from 1 species
GUAGCUCUUCACACACUUCUCGUCACCAACAGAGUUUUCACCUCAGCAGAGCGCCGGAAAAUGAAUAGGGUCCAUCCGAACACCUCAACUUCGGAGGCUCAGUGCUCCUCCUCUUCCAGUAGUUGCUCAGUUAGGGAAUGUCCUACCACUGCAGUACUAACAGUGUGGCGUAAGUCGCUAGUCUUCAACUGCAGCGGCUUCACUGUCUUCGACGCCGACGGAAAUCUCGCCUACCG